rnacentral:rRNA from 1 species
GGUGAACGCUGGCGGCGUGCUUAAGACAUGCAAGUCGAACGGCAGUCUUCGGACUGCAGUGGCGCACGGGUGAGUAACGCGUAACUGACCUACCCCAAAGUCGCGGAUAACGAUUCGAAAGAAUCGCUAAUACGUGAUGUGCUGUCAGAUUGUGUUCUGCCAGUAAAGAUUGAUUGCUUUGGGAUGGGGUUGCGUUCCAUCAGCUAGUUGGUGGGGUAAAGGCCUACCAAGGCGACGACGGAUAGCCGGCCUGAGAGGGUGGCCGGCCACAGGGGCACUGAGACACGGGUCCCACUCCUACGGGAGGCAGCAGUUAGGAAUCUUCCACAAUGGGCGAAAGCCUGAUGGAGCGACGCCGCGUGAGGGAUGAAGGUCUUCGGAUCGUAAACCUCUGAAUCAGGGACGAAAGACACUUCGGUGGGAUGACGGUACCUGAGUAAUAGCACCGGCUAACUCCGUGCCAGCAGCCGCGGUAACAC